CCUGUGGAGUGUUAUAGCAAACUGUAGUAGCGAGUGAUUGGCGAGACAGGACACGUAGAAGCAGGAA
ncrna:Bacillus cereus VD146 RAGATH-18 RNA